rnacentral:rRNA from 1 species
AGUGAACGCUGGCGGUAGGCCUAACACAUGCAAGUCGAACGGCAGCACAGUAAGAGCUUGCUCUUACGGGUGGCGAGUGGCGGACGGGUGAGGAAUACAUCGGAAUCUACUUUUUCGUGGGGGAUAACGUAGGGAAACUUAUGCUAAUACCGCAUACGACCUACGGGUGAAAGCAGGGGAUCUUCGGACCUUGCGCGAUUGAAUGAGCCGAUGUCGGAUUAGCUAGUUGGCGGGGUAAAGGCCCACCAAGGCGACGAUCCGUAGCUGGUCUGAGAGGAUGAUCAGCCACACUGGAACUGAGACACGGUCCAGACUCCUACGGGAGGCAGCAGUGGGGAAUAUUGGACAAAGGGCGCAAGCCUGAUCCAGCCAUACCGCGUGGGUGAAGAAGGCCUUCGGGUUGUAAAGCCCUUUUGUUGGGAAAGAAAAGCAGCAGGUUAAUACCCCGCUGUUCUGACGGUACCCAAAGAAUAAGCACCGGCUAACUUCGUG